UACGAAGGGGCUAGCGUUGCUCGGAAUUACUGGGCGUAAAGCGCACGUAGGCGGCUUUCUAAGUCGGGGGUGAAAUCCUGGAGCUCAACUCCAGAACUGCCUUCGAUACUGGAGAGCUCGAGUCCGGGAGAGGUGAGUGGAACUGCGAGUGUAGAGGUGAAAUUCGUAGAUAUUAGGAAGAACACCAGUGGCGAAGGCGGCUCACUGGCCCGGAACUGACGCUGAUGUACGAAAGCGUGGGGAGCAAACAGG
rnacentral:rRNA from 1 species